rnacentral:rRNA from 1 species
UACGUAGGUGGCAAGCGUUGUCCGGAAUUAUUGGGCGUAAAGCGCGCGCAGGCGGUCCUUUAAGUCUGAUGUGAAAGCCCACGGCUCAACCGUGGAGGGUCAUUGGAAACUGGGGGACUUGAGUACAGAAGAGGAAAGUGGAAUUCCAUGUGUAGCGGUGAAAUGCGUAGAGAUGUGGAGGAACACCAGUGGCGAAGGCGACUUUCUGGUCUGUAACUGACGCUGAGGCGCGAAAGCGUGGGGAGCAAACAGG